UGGGGAAUUUUGGGCAAUGGGCGAAAGCCUGACCCAGCAACGCCGCGUGCAGGAUGAAGGCCUUCGGGUCGUAAAGCCCUGUCAGCAGGGAAGAAACUCCGGGAUUCGAAUAGGGUCUCGGAUUGACGGUACCUGCGGAGGAAGCACCGGCUAACUCCGUGCCAGCAGCCGCGGUAAAACGGAGGGUGCAAGCGUUGUUCGGAAUUACUGGGCGUAAAGCGCGUGCAGGUGGUUUUCUAAGUUUCGUGUGAAAGCCCACGGCUCAACCGUGGAACGGCACGGAAAACUGGAAGACUUGAAUACGGGAGAAGAGGGCGGAAUUCCCAGUGUAGAGGUGAAAUUCGUAGAUAUUGGGAGGAACACCGGUGGCGAAAGCGGCUCUCUAGACCGAUAUUGACGCUCAUACGCGAGAGCGUGGGUAGCAAACAGGAUUAGAUACCCCCGUAGUCCCUGAGCGGGCUGGCAAGGCGCAU
rnacentral:rRNA from 1 species